ACUUAAAUUGAAGAGUUUGAUCAUGGCUCAGAUUGAACGCUGGCGGCAGGCCUAACACAUGCAAGUCGAGCGGUAGCACAGAGAGCUUGCUCUCGGGUGACGAGCGGCGGACGGGUGAGUAAUGUCUGGGAAACUGCCUGAUGGAGGGGGAUAACUACUGGAAACGGUAGCUAAUACCG
rnacentral:rRNA from 1 species